CCCCUUGGGGGGUGGGACUAGAUUGGCGAGUCGAGCGUCUCUAGCUAUGUUGAGACGCGGCAUACGGCUCAGUAACACGUGGCUAACCUACCCUCAGGACGGGGACAAACCCGGGAAACUGGGGCUAAUAUCCGAUAGGCGAGGAAUCCUGGAAUGGGUCCUCACCCAAAGGACAUUGGAAACAUGCUUUCUCUGUCGCCUGGGGAUGGGGCCGCGACCGAUCAGGUUGUUGGUGAGGUAAUGGCUCACCAAGCCUUUAACCGGUACGGGCCGUGAGAGCGGUAGCCCGGAGAUGGGUACUGAGACAAGGACCCAGGCCCUACGGGGCGCAGCAGUCGCGAAAACUCCGCAAUGCACGAAAGUGUGACGGGGCUACCCCGAGUGCCGUCCGCUGAGGAUGGCUUUUCCUUGGUGUAACUAGCCGGGGGAAUAAGGAGAGGGCAAGACUGGUGUCAGCCGCCGCGGUAAUACCAGCUCUCCGAGUGGUAGGGAUGAUUAUUUGGCCUAAAGCGUCCGUAGCCUGUUUGGUAAGUCUUUCGUUAAAUCCGACGAUUCCAUCGUUGGGCCGCGGAAGAUACUGUCAGACUUGAGGACGGGAGAGGUCGACGGUAGUCCCAGGGUAGGGGUGAAAUCCUAUAAUCCUGGGAGGACCACCAGUGGCGAAGGCGGUCGACUAGAACGUGCCUGACGGUGAUGGACGAAAGCUGGGGGAGCGAACCGGAUUAGACACCCGGGUAGUCCCAGCUGUAAACGAUGCAAGCUAGGUGUUGGAGCAACUACGGGUUGCUCCAGUGCCGCAGAGAAGUUGUUAAGCUUGCCGCCUGGGAAGUACGGCCGCAAGGCUGAAACUUAAAGGAAUUGGCGGGGGAGCACCACAAGGGGUGAAGCCUGCGGUUCAAUUGGAGUCAACGCCGGGA
rnacentral:rRNA from 1 species